rnacentral:rRNA from 1 species
AGUGAACGCUGGCGGUAGGCCUAACACAUGCAAGUCGAACGGCAGCACAGUAAGAGCUUGCUCUUACGGGUGGCGAGUGGCGGACGGGUGAGGAAUACAUCGGAAUCUACUUUUUCGUGGGGGAUAACGCAGGGAAACUUACGCUAAUACCGCAUACGACCUACGGGUGAAAGCAGGGGAUCUUCGGACCUUGCGCGAUUGAAUGAGCCGAUGUCGGAUUAGCUGGUUGGCGGGGUAAAGGCCCACCAAGGCGACGAUCCGUAGCUGGUCUGAGAGGAUGAUCAGCCACACUGGAACUGAGACACGGUCCAGACUCCUACGGGAGGCAGCAGUGGGGAAUAUUGGACAAUGGGCGCAAGCCUGAUCCAGCCAUACCGCGUGGGUGAAGAAGGCCUUCGGGUUGUAAAGCCCUUUUGUUGGGAAAGAAAAGCAGCAGGUUAAUACCCCGCUGUUCUGACGGUACCCAAAGAAUAAGCACCGGCUAACUUCGUG